rnacentral:rRNA from 1 species
CCUACGGGAGGCAGCAGUGAGGAAUAUUGGUCAAUGGACGAGAGUCUGAACCAGCCAAGUAGCGUGAAGGAUGACUGCCCUAUGGGUUGUAAACUUCUUUUAUAUGGGAGUAAAAUGUUCCACGUGUGGGAUUUUGUAUGUACCAUAUGAAUAAGGAUCGGCUAACUCCGUGCCAGCAGCCGCGGUAAUACGGAGGAUCCGAGCGUUAUCCGGAUUUAUUGGGUUUAAAGGGAGCGUAGGUGGAUUGUUAAGUCAGUUGUGAAAGUUUGCGGCUCAACCGUAAAAUUGCAGUUGAAACUGGCAGUCUUGAGUACAGUAGAGGUGGGCGGAAUGCGUGGUGUAGCGGUGAAAUGCUUAGAUAUCACGAAGAACUCCGAUUGCGAAGGCAGUUCACUGGACUGCAACUGACACUGAGGCUCGAAAGUGUGGGUAUCAAACAGGAUUAGAUACCCGUGUAGUC